CACGAGAUUCGUAAGAGAACUUAAAUUGAGCCAAUCUUGCAUAUGACUGACGAUGGAAUUUGACGAGCUAUCCAUGACCUCCAUCAAGUCCAAACUUUCGAUAGAAGGACUGAUUCAUAUGAUAACUGUACCUAAAAAUUCAUACUUCCAUUCUAUUAGAUUGUCACUACAUACUGCUAGGUAUCACUGGUGGAUUAUGGGAUCCACGAGUAUUAUCUUGAUGAUCGAUGAUUCUCGAUGGGCAGUGUUGGAAUUAUUCCAACCCAUCAAAAAGAAUUUUGAUGAUAUUAUAAUAA
rnacentral:lncRNA from 1 species